AAGAUAGACUACUUAGCUUGGUUAGAGUAAAAUGGGCUAUUUAGCAAAUACGAUACACCCUAAUUGGUAUUUGGAUUGGUUGUUAAAUGGGCCUAGUAGCACACACGCACACAAGGUUGGGGUUACGCAUAUGUACAUGUACACGUACGAGACCAGGAUAGCUCGUUCCCCUCACGCUCAUCUCUUUCGAGCCUAAACGUGAUCCUCUCUCGAUUCCCCUUUCUCGCAUGCGACCUCACAUGUCGAUGCGCUCGUCGCCGCCUUGAUUCCGGCCGCCGCCGACCAUGUCCGGUGCCGCCGAACGUCGCCAAUACUCCGCCUGCAUCUCCUCCCCCAGUUCCCUGCCGGCACGGUGCCUGCCCGCGCCCACGCGCGACCUCGUGAAACCCUAGCUUGGGCUAGCCGGUGCGGCAUCAGCACCGCCGUGCCGCUGCAGGCUGCAUCCUCAAUGAAGAGCACGAGCUCCUCAUAGCCGCCUACGACUUCUAAAACGAUCUUCCGAGCUCCUGCUCCCCUAGUUCGACAUCGACGAGCACCUCCAAGGCCUGUGCGACGUCCAUGCUAUUCCCCUGGUCCGGCUCGCCUCCCUUUCGUGUUCUCGCACGGCCUGACUUCUCGAGAUCGACGACCACGAGUUCCUCGUCGCUGAACGCGAGCCCUAACACGAGUCCCUGCUCUACUAUGAUCACUCAGGAAACAGAGAUCAAUGGAGGAUUGAGAAGAUUUAGAUUUAGGAAUUCUUUUAUUUCCUUGUAAUCUUCUAUUACUUUUGUAAAGAGAAUAUAUAAUUGUGUAAAGGUUGUACAAUUUAAAUGGAUGUAUGAUGAUUUGUAAUAUUUAGUUUUUGACCAAACAAUCUUAUUUUACUUA